AUUGAACGCUGGCGGCAUGCCUUCCACAUGCAAGUCGAACGGUAACAGGUCUUCGGAUGCUGACGAGUGGCGAACGGGUGAGUAAUACAUCGGAACGUGCCUAGUAGUGGGGGAUAACUACUCGAAAGAGUGGCUAAUACCGCAUGAGAUCUACGGAUGAAAGCAGGGGAUCGCAAGACCUAGCGCUACAAGAGCGGCCGAUGGCAGAUUAGGUAGUUGGUGGGAUAAAAGCUUACCAAGCCGACGAUCUGUAGCGGGUCUGAGAGGACGAUCAGCCACACUGGGACUGAGACACGGCCCAGACUCCUACGGGAGGCAGCAGUGGGGAAUUUUGGACAAUGGGCGAAAGCCUGAUCCAGCAAUGCCGCGUGCAGGAUGAAGGCCUUCGGGUUGUAAACUGCUUUUGUACGGAACGAAAAGCCCCGGGUUAAUACCCUGGGGUCAUGACGGUACCGUAAGAAUAAGCACCGGCUAACUACGUGCCAGCCGCCGCCGUAA
rnacentral:rRNA from 1 species